rnacentral:tRNA from 1 species
GGCCCUGAGGUGUAAAACAUAUUAGAUUGCAAAUCUGAAGAAGCGGCUUAAUCUCCGCCGGGGCUU